AGUGAACGCUGGCGGUAGGCCUAACACAUGCAAGUCGAACGGCAGCACAGUAAGAGCUUGCUCUUACGGGUGGCGAGUGGCGGACGGGUGAGGAAUACAUCGGAAUCUACUUUUUCGUGGGGGAUAACGUAGGUAAACUUACGCUAAUACCGCAUACGACCUACGGGUGAAAGCAGUGGAUCUUCGGACCUUGCGCGAUUGAAUGAGCCGAUGUCGGAUUAGCUAGUUGGCGGGGUAAAGGCCCACCAAGGCGACGAUCCGUAGCUGGACUGAGUGGAUGGUAGGCCACACUGGAGCUGAGACACGGUCCAGGCUCCUACGGUAGGCAGCAGUGGGGAAUAUUGGACAAUGGGCGCAAGCCUGACACAGCCAUACCGCGUGGGUGAAGAAGGCCUUCGGGUUGUAAAGCCCUUUUGUUGGGAAAGAAAAGCAGCAGGUUAAUACCCCGCUGUUCUGACGGUACCCAAAGAAUAAGCACCGGCUAACUUCGUG
rnacentral:rRNA from 1 species